rnacentral:rRNA from 1 species
AUUGAACGCUGGCGGCAUGCCUUACACAUGCAAGUCGAACGGUAACAGGUCUUCGGAUGCUGACGAGUGGCGAACGGGUGAGUAAUAUAUCGGAAAGUGCCCGAACCUGGGGGCUAACGAAGCGAAAGCUUUGCUAAUACCGCAUACGAUCUACGGAUGAAAGCAGGGGACCGCAAGGCCUUGCGCGAACGGAGCGGUCGAUGGCAGAUUAGGUAGUUGGUGGGAUAAAAGCUUACCAAGCGGACGAUCUGUAGCUGGUCUGAGAGGACGACCAGCCACACUGGGACUGAGACACGGCCGAGACUCCUACGGGAGGCAGCAGUGGGGAAUUUUGGACAAUGGGCGAAAGCCUGAUCCAGCCAUGCCGCGUGCAGGAUGAAGGCCUUCUGGUUGUAGACUGCUUUUGUACGGAACGAAAAGACUCUGGUUAAUACCUGGGGUGCAUGACGGUACCGGAAGGAUAAGCACCGGCUAACUACGUG